UACGGAGGGUGCAAGCGUUAUCCGGAUUCACUGGGUUUAAAGGGUGCGUAGGUGGGUUGGUAAGUCAGUGAUGAAAUCUCCAGGCUCAACUUGGAAACUGCCAUUGAUACUAUUAAUCUUGAAUACCGUGGAGGUCAGCGGAAUAUGUCAUGUAGCGGUGAAAUGCUUAGAUAUGACAUAGAACACCAAUUGCGAAGGCAGCUGGCUACACGAAUAUUGACACUGAUGCACGAAAGCGUGGGGAUCAAACAGG
rnacentral:rRNA from 1 species